rnacentral:rRNA from 1 species
UACAGAGGGUGCGAGCGUUAAUCGGAAUUACUGGGCGUAAAGCGCGCGUAGGCGGCUUUGCAAGUCGAUUGUGAAAUCCCCAGGCUUAACCUGGGAACUGCAUUCGAGACUGCAUAGCUAGAGUAUGGGAGAGGGAAGUGGAAUUUCAGGUGUAGCGGUGAAAUGCGUAGAUAUCUGAAGGAACAUCAGUGGCGAAAGCGACUUCCUGGACCAAUACUGACGCUCAUGUGCGAAAGCGUGGGAGCGAACAGG